rnacentral:rRNA from 1 species
CACGUAGGGCGCAAGCGUUGUCCGGAAUUAUUGGGCGUAAGAGCUCGUAGGCGGUCUGUUGCGUCCGCUGUGAAAACUCGGGGCUUAACCCCGAGCCUGCAGUGGAUACGGGCAGACUAGAGGUAGGUAGGGGAGAAUGGAAUUCCCGGUGUAGCGGUGAAAUGCGCAGAUAUCGGGAGGAACACCUAUGGCGAAGGCAGCUCGCUGGGACGUUACUGACGCUGAGACGCGAAAGCGUGGGGAGCAAACAGG